rnacentral:rRNA from 2 species
CGGAGGGAAACCGAGUCUUAAUUGGGCGUUAAGUUGCAGGGUAUAGACCCGAAACCCGGUGAUCUAGCCAUGGGCAGGUUGAAGGUUGGGUAACACUAACUGGAGGACCGAACCGACUAAUGUUGAAAAAUUAGCGGAUGACCUGUGGCUGGGGGUGAAAGGCCAAUCAAACCGGGAGAUAGCUGGUUCUCCCCGAAAGCUAUUUAGGUAGCGCCUCGUGAAUUCAUCUCCGGGGGUAGAGCACUGUUUCGGCUAGGGGGCCAUCCCGGCUUACCAACCCGAUGCAAACUGCGAAUACCGGAGAAUGUUAUCACGGGAGACACACGGCGGGUGCUAACGUCCGUCGUGAAGAGGGAAACAACCCAGACCGCCAGCUAAGGUCCCAAAGUCAUGGUUAAGUGGGAAACGAUGUGGGAAGGCCCAGACAGCCAGGAUGUUGGCUUAGAAGCAGCCAUCAUUUAAAGAAAGCGUAAUAGCUCACUGGUCGAGUCGGCCUGCGCGGAAGAUGUAACGGGGCUAAACCAUGCACCGAAGCUGCGGCAGCGACACUGUGUGUUGUUGGGUAGGGGAGCGUUCUGUAAGCCUGUGAAGGUGUGUCGUGAGGCAUGCUGGAGGUAUCAGAAGUGCGAAUGCUGACAUAAGUAACGAUAAAGCGGGUGAAAAGCCCGCUCGCCGGAAGACCAAGGGUUCCUGUCCAACGUUAAUCGGGGCAGGGUGAGUCGACCCCUAAGGCGAGGCCGAAAGGCGUAGUCGAUGGGAAACGGGUUAAUAUUCCCGUACUUGGUGUUACUGCGAAGGGGGGACGGAGAAGGCUAUGUUGGCCGGGCGACGGUUGUCCCGGUUUAAGCGUGUAGGUGUGUGUUCCAGGUAAAUCCGGUUCACUUUAACACUGAGGCGUGACGACGAGGCACUACGGUGCUGAAGCAACAAAUGCCCUGCUUCCAGGAAAAGCCUCUAAGCAUCAGGUAACAUCAAAUCGUACCCCAAACCGACACAGGUGGUCAGGUAGAGAAUACCAAGGCGCUUGAGAGAACUCGGGUGAAGGAACUAGGCAAAAUGGUGCCGUAACUUCGGGAGAAGGCACGCUGACACGUAGGUGAAGUGAUUUACUCAUGGAGCUGAAGUCAGUCGAAGAUACCAGCUGGCUGCAACUGUUUAUUAAAAACACAGCACUGUGCAAACACGAAAGUGGACGUAUACGGUGUGACGCCUGCCCGGUGCCGGAAGGUUAAUUGAUGGGGUCAGCGCAAGCGAAGCUCCUGAUCGAAGCCCCGGUAAACGGCGGCCGUAACUAUAACGGUCCUAAGGUAGCGAAAUUCCUUGUCGGGUAAGUUCCGACCUGCACGAAUGGCGUAAUGAUGGCCAGGCUGUCUCCACCCGAGACUCAGUGAAAUUGAACUCGCUGUGAAGAUGCAGUGUACCCGCGGCAAGACGGAAAGACCCCGUGAACCUUUACUAUAGCUUGACACUGAACAUUGAGCCUUGAUGUGUAGGAUAGGUGGGAGGCUUUGAAGUGUGGACGCCAGUCUGCAUGGAGCCGACCUUGAAAUACCACCCUUUAAUGUUUGAUGUUCUAACGUGGACCCGUUACCCGGGUUGCGGACAGUGUCUGGUGGGUAGUUUGACUGGGGCGGUCUCCUCCUAAAGAGUAACGGAGGAGCACGAAGGUUGGCUAAUCCUGGUCGGACAUCAGGAGGUUAGUGCAAUGGCAUAAGCCAGCUUGACUGCGAGCGUGACGGCGCGAGCAGGUGCGAAAGCAGGUCAUAGUGAUCCGGUGGUUCUGAAUGGAAGGGCCAUCGCUCAACGGAUAAAAGGUACUCCGGGGAUAACAGGCUGAUACCGCCCAAGAGUUCAUAUCGACGGCGGUGUUUGGCACCUCGAUGUCGGCUCAUCACAUCCUGGGGCUGAAGUAGGUCCCAAGGGUAUGGCUGUUCGCCAUUUAAAGUGGUACGCGAGCUGGGUUUAGAACGUCGUGAGACAGUUCGGUCCCUAUCUGCCGUGGGCGCUGGAGAACUGAGGGGGGCUGCUCCUAGUACGAGAGGACCGGAGUGGACGCAUCACUGGUGUUCGGGUUGUCAUGCCAAUGGCACUGCCCGGUAGCUAAAUGCGGAAGAGAUAAGUGCUGAAAGCAUCUAAGCACGAAACUUGCCCCGA